rnacentral:lncRNA from 1 species
AAGAUCGGAAACCCUAUGACGCCAGAUACAUUUUCCGGCAUCGGGACGCACUAGACUGAUUUUGAGGUUAUCCUCUCUUCUGCACUUUUAUUCCUUUGUCUUUAUUUUAAGUUCUUAUAUGAUUUGCAGUAUAGUUGUUACAUUCUCUUGGUUUAAAUCUUGGCAAUCAAAACAAAGGGAGUAUCGCCCAGUCCUUCCAAAUAGUGUUUGGGGUUUCUCUUCUGUUUAGGUUUUCGAUACUCACGGUUGGCCUUUUUAACUGGUUUGGGGUUCUUCUCUUUUGUCGUCAUCCUCAUGCCUACAUCUUUGUUUCUUGGCGCCUUUCUCUUUAAAAUUAAUGUUGAUUUCUGUCUUCCUUCAUACUACCACAGGGAACCACAAUUCAGGGGGAGUCUCACAAAAACUACACUGCCCUCCUUCAGUCUCGAAUCAGUGUUGGUUCGUCUACAAAAUAACAGGCUUUGGCCUUCGCCCUCGAAGGAAGAACUAUCGAACAAGUCCAUUUCCUCAUUGUUUGGAC